GAUCUCGACUUUAUUUUUCCUCUUUGUAGUUAUAUUUUUGGAGUAGCUGUUUGUCUUCUCGCAGCUUUCCCAAUAAAGCAACUCCAGUGUCAGAAUUGAAGAUGAAGUUGGUGUC
ensembl:miRNA gga-mir-3526 gga-mir-3526